UACAGAGGGUGCAAGCGUUGUUCGGAAUUAUUGGGCGUAAAGGGCUCGUAGGCGGUCUGUUGCGUCGGGAGUGAAAACUCAGGGCUUAACCCUGAGCCUGCUUCCGAUACGGGCAGACUAGAGGUAUGCAGGGGAGAACGGAAUUCCUGGUGUAGCGGUGAAAUGCGCAGAUAUCAGGAGGAACACCGGUGGCGAAGGCGGUUCUCUGGGCAUUACCUGACGCUGAGGAGCGAAAGUGUGGGGAGCGAACAGG
rnacentral:rRNA from 1 species